CUAUCCACAAAAGACCAAACUGACACAGAAAUUAACAACUAGAGGUCACCAUACGGCCUUCAACAAUGAGCAAAGCCCAUACCGCAUAGUCAGCUAUAAAAGGCCCCGAUAAGACAAUGUAAAACAAUUCAAACGAGAAAACUAACGGCCUUAUUUAUGUAAAAAAAAAAUGAACGAAAAACAAAUAUGUAACACAUAAACAAACGACAA
rnacentral:lncRNA from 1 species